rnacentral:rRNA from 1 species
AACGAACGCUGGCGGCAUGCCUAACACAUGCAAGUCGAACGAGACCUUCGGGUCUAGUGGCGCACGGGUGCGUAACGCGUGGGAACCUGCCUUUAGGUUCGGAAUAACUCAGAGAAAUUUGAGCUAAUACCGGAUGAUGUCUUCGGACCAAAGAUUUAUCGCCUUUAGAUGGGCCCGCGUUGGAUUAGCUAGUUGGUGGGGUAAAGGCCUACCAAGGCGACGAUCCAUAGCUGGUCUGAGAGGAUGAUCAGCCACACUGGGACUGAGACACGGCCCAGACUCCUACGGGAGGCAGCAGUGGGGAAUAUUGGAAAAUGGGCGAAAGCCUGAUCCAGCAAUGCCGCGUGAGUGAUGAAGGCCUUAGGGUUGUAAAGCUCUUUUACCCGAGAUGAUAGUGACAGUAUCGGGAGAAUAAGCUCCGGCUAACUCCGUG